CGCCGUCCCAAUCCCCCACCCCGCCGCCGCAGUUCGAAAUUUGGAAUCCGCUGAGUCUGGUCCCCCGCAGCGUCGCCCACGGAGCGCCGCCGGUCUCUGUGUUCCUCGCCGGCCGCGGUCGUCUGCGGCUCGGCGGCCCGGCCGGCGUGCGCCGCGCGCAGCUGCCCUCAGGGCCGGGGCACCAGCCUCCGCGCCCUCCGCGACUCGGCCGCCGUGCGCUGCGGCUAGCUGCCCUCGGGGGCGGGGCACCGGCGUCCGCGCCCGACCUGCGGCCCCGCAGCCGUUCGCGCCGCCCACCGGCCUCCGCGCCCGGCGUGCCCCGCCGCCGUUCGCGGGGCGGCCUGGGAUCCGGGGCUCCUCCUUGCCGGCAGCCGGCGAAAGCGAUUGUGGCAGCUGCCCCCUCGUGGCCGAUUGUGGCAGCUGCAAGACCAAGUCUCUUGCGUACGCCGCGCAGAUCCAACACAAGCACCACCAGGGGACAACGGAAGGGAGCAGGCCAACAGGGUCGAUGUGGCCACGUUCUUUGAACAUGGCGGCCUCUCCUUGAGGGUACAAAUAAGAACCUCAUCUCAACGUGAGUGCUACUUGGUUAAUUUCAUGCUGAAAGACUUUGUUUGCCCCAUUUCUUUUCUGGUAUUUCUUUUGUUUUUGCCAGCAAAAGGGAGAUUUGGCGUUGCAUCCAUUGAAUAAUUUAGGCAGCUUCACGAGCUACAACCACAAAUUCCAUAAACUUCAACACAUGAUUGGUCUUUGUCCGAGUCAGGACAAGAAGAGGCUAUGCUUGAGUUUCUGUGAUGAUUAAAUCAGACCAACCUUUUAGGUGCAGGGAAAUACGGGUCAGGAUCAGUUUGGAACUUACAUGGGAGAUGAUGAAUAUCACUCUAUCUUUCUAAGGGUGUUCCAGCCAUGGGUCCUAAUGUCUGUGAUGAUAUUUGUUUGGUUUGUAAGAAGCUAGCUUGCCUUGGACUCCAUUCGUGACCUUAAACUUCACUGCCAUAGCUUGCCUUGUAAUUAUGCCAACAAUUGUAGGAUUGCUUUGCUCUGGCCGCAUAGUGCCAAUGAUCAAGGCCAUGUCAAUGGUUCACUGUAUUGGACUAUCGGUUGCUUCUUCUUGAAUAUUUGUCUAAUUAUAAACAUUUUAGUUGAGUUUCAGAAGUUCAGAAACAUAAAAUUGCAUUGACCUUGUUGCUCAAAUGUACCAUUUUGUUUUAUUUAGUGUAUAUUAUUAUUACAUAUAAAUAUUACAUGUUUUUUCCCGUAGCGUUAGCACGGGCCAACUUACUAGUCAAUCAGAAGCCAUCGUCUCACUCACCUGAAGAUGUACUAAGAAUGAUAGCGAUGUGAAGUUUAGUUGUUGAGGACCAAGUUCAGUCAGGACAAAGAUCAGGGCAAUGCCGCUUGAAAAAAAGAAAUAAAAGAAAAGGUGGCUUCCACUAACGUUUAACAACUCCUGAAAGUACCCAGCAACUGAUCAGCAACUAUAUUCUAUUUCCUAGUCCUAAUUGGCCAGAUGCAGAAGCAACCUACGCGCAUCAUUUGACUAUAAAAUCACGACAUUAGUUUACCAGUAAUCCAGAUCAGAAAUUCAGACCAUCAGAAGACUACAAAGCCCUGAAACAUCCCCAAGAAAUAGCCUUGUCUUGUGCCUGAAUGACGUGCACGCACACCUCUGAUGGUCUUACACUGUUAUCAAAAGAUUCAGUGUUCAGUAAUCUGUAAAGCAGAUCACUAACCUAUCGGCCACCACCUCUUAUUCGUGAUGGUUUUCCUGGUAACUUUGCGUCAGAGGAGAAGGGAUCACUUGCGGAGGAGUAGAUCCCGUUCGCUAGGACACGAUACUGAAAUGUCGUCUGGCCGGUGACCUUUAAGAAAUGACCUGAACCGGUCCGAUCGGAUCUUGAAACUAAAGCUCCAGUUUUUAGGAGAUCAGAACUCAACAACGAAAGGAUGGAAUCUGGAUCGCUCUCACAUCACCGUUCCAUGUGCAUCCGAGGAAUAAGCACAUGUCUAAUGCUCAUUUUGCACUUUAAAGUUACACUAACAACUCGGCAGCAAGCAAGCCCUCAACUUGCUAACAAACUUUUAAGAAUUCAGACUUGGGAUGCUAUUUAUUCGGCACUCUUCAGCGAAGCAGGAGAGCAGCCAGAGGAAGGCCUGGUGACCCGUCCACUUCGCUCCCGUCCCCCUCGGCGACCAUGGCGGGGCUUCCUCUCGCCGCCGUCGCGUUCCACCUCUGCCUCCUCGCGUCCUCGUCCGCCGCUCUCCGGCUGGCCCCCGAGACCACGGGCGAGGGCCGCCAUGUCGGCAGGACGGCCUACCACUUCCAGCCAGCCAAGAACUGGCAGAACGAUCCGAAUGGUACGUGCUGCUUCUUGGUCCUCUGCUCUUCUUCCGUUCUCUUCUGUUGUAGCCAGGUCUGACAGCUAUAGGAUUUGCUUUGCUCUGAUAACGCUAAAUUGGGAUCACUUUAUCCUGUCUUGGGUGUAUCUGGUUGAACCGCAAAUUAAACUCCAUUAGUUUCGGUGGGUUGAGGUCAUGGGAAGAACAUAGUUGUCAGAAGCUUAAACCUAUCCAUUGGUGAUAAGAAAAGGAGACAAACAAAGGAGAAAAAAUCAGGGGAAGAUGCUUGUGUGGCCCACGUUGAUAGGUUAGAUUGGAUGCCAAGUGUGCCUGCCUGCCACCCUGCACCUACUUGGAGUGUGGGUGUGUCUCACACUCACGUCUCUGAAGACAUGUUUGCACGCUUUGCCUGCUCUCUAGCACGAGAGAAUUUCAAACGUUUUACCACUAAUUAAAAAUAUUAAAUGUGAAUAACUGACAAAACUGGUUUCAUAAUCUCGGGUGUAAUUGCAAGAUGAAUCUUUUAAAUCUAACUGGAUAAUGAUUACACAAUAUCAUGCUACGGUAAACAAUCUCUAAUGACGGAUUAAUUAAGCUUAAUAGAUUUGUCUCGUUUUUCACUACCCGUGUAAUUAGUUUUAUAAUUAAAUCAUGUUUAGUCUUUCUAAUCUUCGGUUGAAAAUUGUUACAGUGAAUUUCAUCCAAAAUUUUACAGCAUCUAAACACAGUUGCAACCUUGAAGAGAGAAUAUCUUGUUCCGCUUUAGUAAAGAACACAAAUGUUUGAAGAUUGAGAUAACUGAGUUAAGGGAACUAUGCAGCUCUCUAAAUCUUUUGCCUAAAAUCACCAGACCAGACCAUGUCAUUCUCAGUGUAACACUGAACUGCCAAACCUGUUGAUCAGUGGCGAAAGGGCCUGUAGUCUAGUGGUUACAAGAGCCUCGGUAGCAACUAAGGUCCUGGAUUCGACUCCCCGUGGGGGGCGAAUAUUCUGGGAUUUAACGGCUUUAUGCAUUCAGUGGUAGGCGACGUCCUCGUCGACAGCAAGGCGCAUGUGGUGACUUCGUUAAUCUCGAGGAUUUGCCGGCUCAGUCUUCGAAGAUGCUCAUAGGGGCAGGGUUUGCGUGUGUGUUCAUAGAGGUAUGAGUGUGCGUGUGUUUUAAGUGUCUGAGUUGUACUGUGUAAUCUAAAAAAACUGUUGAUCAGUGAUCAAGAUGGCAUACUUCCUGUUACUGAAAAACUGACGGUUGUUCCCAAAAAAAAAA